GAUGAACGCUGGCGGCGUGCCUAAUACAUGCAAGUCGAGCGAACGGACGAGAAGCUUGCUUCUCUGAUGUUAGCGGCGGACGGGUGAGUAACACGUGGAUAACCUACCUAUAAGACUGGGAUAACUUCGGGAAGCCGGAGCUAAUACCGGAUAAUAUUUUGAACCGCAUGGUUCAAAAGUGAAAGACGGUCUUGCUGUCACUUAUAGAUGGAUCCGCGCUGCAUUAGCUAGUUGGUAAGGUAACGGCUUACCAAGGCAACGAUGCAUAGCCGACCUGAGAGGGUGAUCGGCCACACUGGAACUGAGACACGGUCCAGACUCCUACGGGAGGCAGCAGUAGGGAAUCUUCCGCAAUGGGCGAAAGCCUGACGGAGCAACGCCGCGUGAGUGAUGAAGGUCUUCGGACCGUAAAACUCUGUUAUUAGGGAAGAACAUAUGUGUAAGUAACUGUGCACAUCUUGACGGUACCUAAUCAGAAAGCCACGGCUAACUACGUG
rnacentral:rRNA from 1 species